rnacentral:rRNA from 1 species
UACGAAGGUCCCAAGCGUUAUCCGGAUUUAUUGGGUUUAAAGGGUGCGUAGGCGGGCUAUUAAGUCAGUGGUGAAAACUCCAUGCCUAACAUGGAAACGGCCAUUGAUACUGACGGCCUUGAGUACAUUUGAAGUGGGCGGAAUGUGUCAUGUAGCGGUGAAAUGCUUAGAUAUGACACAGAACACCGAUUGCGAAGGCAGCUCGCUAAACUGUAACUGACGCUGAGGCACGAAAGCGCGGGGAG